UAAACACAAAGCAGAAAAGAGAAAAGAAAUAGAAAACCGACACCCUCGCCCAGUCACCCUCACAUCGCGAAACGAAGACGAAAACCCUCCUCUCAUCUCAGUCUUCGCUCGCCCUCGCCGAACGGUCCGAACUCCGAAGUUCGAACUCUCCUCUCAGUCUCAGUUGCUCGCCUUCGUCUCAGUCCAAACUCCGAAAACGAAAACCCUCUGGCCUCCUCUCAGUCUCACUCACUCUUGGUCGCUCGAUCCGGUCUCCGCCUUAGUCCCCUCGUCGAUCUGGCCCACGCCUCACGCUUCCGGUUCAGUCUCCCCUCAGUCCUUCCGAUACUAACUCACGCUUUCGUGUCUCGAGAAUAGUUAGAUUCUUCAAAGUUGUCACAACGGACAAGGAAUUAGACACUGCUGAAUCACCAUUUUCAAACUUCAUCGUUAUAGAAGAUAAAGAUGAUUUUGAAAUAGUACGGGUGGAAAAUGAAUGGCUACAAAUAUCCCUUUUGAUAAUAUUGAAUCAGAUAGCCCAUCAUGCUCGGUUGUUUUGAAAUAAGGAAUUGGAUUUGGAGCAUAAUGAUGAUUUUAAUGGCGUGAAAAUACCAAAGAUGAAAAGAAAACUAAUUCAAGUCAUGCGUCAUGUCUCAUGGUGCUUUUGAAUGUUAUUAUUGAACUUGAAAUUUUAUGUAAUAGGCCAAUUAGUUAUUAUUAAACUUGGACUUUUUGUUUCUCUUUUGAAUGUAGACUGAAUAUUUUGAGUAGGGACUUUGAACUUGGACAUUUUAAUUGAA